GACGAACGCUGGCGGCGUGCUUAACACAUGCAAGUCGAACGGAAAGGCCCUGCUUUUGUGGGGUGCUCGAGUGGCGAACGGGUGAGUAACACGUGAGUAACCUGCCCUUGACUUUGGGAUAACUUCAGGAAACUGGGGCUAAUACCGGAUAGGAGCUCCUGCUGCAUGGUGGGGGUUGGAAAGUUUCGGCGGUUGGGGAUGGACUCGCGGCUUAUCAGCUUGUUGGUGGGGUAGUGGCUUACCAAGGCUUUGACGGGUAGCCGGCCUGAGAGGGUGACCGGCCACAAUGGGAACGGAGUUCGGCCCCAGCCUCCACGGGGGGGAAGAGUGGGGGAUAAUGCACCAUGGGGCGAAGGCGGAAGGCGCAACCCCGGGGGCGGGGAGGCGGCCUUCGGGGUGGUAACCGGUUUUGGCUUGGACCGAGGGGGAGGGACGGGAAAUGGUAAAGAAGCCACGGCUAACUACGGU
rnacentral:rRNA from 1 species